UACAAAAUUGGUUCAUUGGUUCUUCCCUUUUCCCAAUUUCAUUAUUGGAAAUUCCAAGAACUUUCUUGGAAUGUUUCAUCUGGAAAUUAAAAUGAUUCUCCCUACCGUUGUCUUUUUCAUCUAACAAGCUACUUCUGCAACUUUGGAGGGGUACUUCUGAAGUUUUCUUUCUCACUUUUUCCAGAUAAGGUCGUGGUCCAGGAGAAUACUUGCUGCCAUCAAGUAUCCACUUUUUGAGUGAUGAGUGCACUAGCUCAAGCGCAAUGAUGUUUUCAAGAUGAUAUUCCUGCCAAGAAGCAAGGUAGUUUGGCAAAGAGAGACGAAAUCAUUUAGGACAUUGAUAAUGCAUUUAUAAGGUGACAACUUUGACCCUUGGGACUCGAUAGAGAGACAUUUGCUGAACCUAAGCUCAAAGACGGAGUAGGACUGUGUUUGUGCGAAUGAGGCGCAUAAAUCCAAUACUAGCGAUAAUGGUCCCUUGGCUAAAUGCAGAAAAUAUAACUUUACAGACUGCACUGUUGGCUAGGAGAUAUCCUGAGUGUGAGCAAACAAAAAUAAUAGCUACACUACGAAUAUAAUUCACUUUUCAGGUACAUGGAGCUAGGAGUGGGCAAAAGUAAUUCAACUGAACUAUUUUCUAGUUCAAUUAUGUUGUAGUAGAGUUCAUUUAACUAGUUUCUAGUUUAUCACAUUACA